rnacentral:lncRNA from 1 species
GAGAGUUCAAUCGUUUGAACGAGAUCUCUUCCGCCUAUGAAUCACCGGAAACCCUAGACAAGCAGGACGAGAGCCACCGCUAUCCUCCUCUUCACCCUCGUUACCGUCGCCGGAGAGCUUCAUCUUCUUGAGAUCUCAUCCGCUACGACCCACAUGACCAAAUCUGACCCACGAAACACAUCAAACUUCAUAACCUCGAUCCAGUCACCACAACCCAAAA